GCCCCCAGGCUACCGCUGCUCUUCGGGUUCCCUUCCAUCCACCUCGUCUUACGCAGGAGACCGAGGCGCCAAGAAUUUUGGUGACAAGGGUCCAGCGCCUACACCCGGCCUCUGCUCUCUCGAAUGUUCUCUCCCCUCCAGUCGGCCUCUUUUAAAAAGAAUGAUAGUUAACUUUAAUUGCCGGCUUACUGCCUGGGCCAAGGGCUUAGAGGAAGAGUGAGAGGAAUCCUGAAUCACAGACCUUCUCGGGCUCCCUGAGGGACGCAGAAGUACGAGAGGGCAGAAAUCAGGAUUGUUCAAACAAAGAUCCCUCUAAUUCCAAAAUUCAUGAUCUUUCCACUUCGUGGCAAGAUCUUGGAGAACCAAAUUCCAGUGUGGACUCCACCACCCCAACUAUGCAACAUUGAAGUGUAUGAUGGGGAGAAAUCCUGCCGACCAGGAGCUUUCUAAAUGGUGACUAUGGAGAGAUGCCAAGGAAAUCGAAUGGUGCCAAGUGCAAAAUCCUCAAGUUGCUCCCUACACCAACAGAAAUCCAUUUGGGAGCUAGAUUUCACUAAGGCAGGAAGUAUUUCACCUACGAUAGAGCACAUGCGGAGAUUAUAUUUGGGAACCAGGGACUAAGGAAGAAAAAGUAAAGCUACAUUGUAUUUCAGGAGACAGUAAGAAGAGAACAUUCCCUGGAGAAAAGCCCAGUGACCUUUUGUGAAGGAAGAAAGAAUGCUGAAGCAAUAGUUCAAAACUACAUGUUUUUAAAAUAUUUCCCUUAUAGUAAAUAACUGCUGAAAUGUUGUUAUUCUUUCAAUAAGCUCAAUGCACUGAGAAGAUACAAAUAUAUAUGUAAAGAAAAUA